AAGUCGUAACAAGGUUUCCGUAGGUGAACCUGCGGAAGGAUCAUUACCAAUUGCGGGCGAGGCCUAGCCUCCCCGCGAACCUUCUCAUCCCUUUAUGGUGUACCUUUGUUUCCUCGGCAGGCUUGCCUGCCAGCGAGGACCCCCAACAAACCUUUUUGCAGUAAGAAGUAUACGUCUUAUCAAAAACAAAUCGUUUACAACUUUCAACAAUGGAUCUCUUGGUUCUG
rnacentral:misc_RNA from 1 species